GGUUGAUCCUGCCAGUACCAUAUGCUUGUUUAAAGGAUUAAGCCAUGCAUGUCUAAGUAUAAACAUCUUUAUACAGUGAAACUGCGUACAGCUCAUUAUAUCAGCAAUAAUUUAUUUGAAGGUGACUCUCUACACGGAUAACUGUAGAAAUUCUAGAGCUAAUACGUGCGUAAAACGUCGACUUUCGGGAAGACGUGUACUUGUUAGAUACAAAAUCAAUGCAGGUUCUGCCUGGUUCAUUGGUGAUUCAUAGUAAUUAAUCGAAGCUUAUGGCCUUGUGCUGAAGCUAGUU
rnacentral:rRNA from 1 species